rnacentral:rRNA from 1 species
UACAGAGGAGCCAAGCGUUGUCCGGAUUGACUGGGCGUAAAGCGCACGCAGGCGGAUGCGCGCGUGGGGUGUGAAAUCUGGCCGCUUAACGGCCAGGCGCCAUCCCAUACGGCGCGUCUGGAGUGAUGCAGAGGUCGAUGGAAUUGCCGGUAUAGUGGUGAAAUGCGUAGAGAUCGGCAGGAACACCCAGGGGGAAACCAGUCGACUGGCAUCUACUGACGCUGAGGUGCGAGAGCGUGGGGAGCGAACCGG